rnacentral:rRNA from 1 species
AUGAACGCUGGCGGCGCGCCUAACACAUGCAAGUCGAACGGCACCCACCUCCGGGUGGAAGCGAGUGGCGAACGGCUGAGUAACACGUGGAGAACCUGCCCCCUCCCCCGGGAUAGCCGCCCGAAAGGACGGGUAAUACCGGAUACCCCGGGGCGCCGCAUGGCGCCCCGGCUAAAGCCCCGACGGGAGGGGAUGGCUCCGCGGCCCAUCAGGUAGACGGCGGGGUGACGGCCCACCGUGCCGACAACGGGUAGCCGGGUUGAGAGACCGACCGGCCAGAUUGGGACUGAGACACGGCCCAG